GGUGUUUUAAUAAAAGCGCAUUCUAAACUUUAAGCACUUGUUUUAUUACCAAAAAUUGAAGGUCAGAAUAAUUAUUGUAUGUAAAAGUACUUUAAUAUUUCUGGUCUGUUACCAGGGUUAUUUCUGUUACCAGGGUAACAACACAAAUAGACUUCUGCUGCAGACUGUUUCAUUAUGACAACUGAAGGCUAAAUAUACGGUCUUUCAGAUUAUCAAUUCCUGGUGUAAAAUGAAUAGAAGAGAAAAUUUUUCACUUGACAGAUGAAAGAAAGCAAGCACCCCCAUCCCUUUUCUUCAUACAACUUAGGAAAGGUACCUAGUACUUUUUUGUUGUUUUCUCUUGAAAUACACCACUUCAAAUGCAAUGAGUUCAUUUACCAGGGAAGGGGGGAAAAUCUUGAACAACUUAGAAGCAAUAUGUGGAAUAAAAACACAAACAAACAGAGAACAAUUGGAGGGAAAGGAGGCAGAAAUCUCACAUCAUGUGCAUUAUAAAAUGUCAUAUCUUAGUAUCUUCCUAUGAAGAUCCUCAAGGGAAAAUAAUAACUAUAAUUUUGAUAGUACUUAAUUUGAGACUCAUAAUUACUACCUGCAACAGCUUCCGUUGAAUUAAUUUAAAAAUUUAAAAUAUUCAAUCUAUACACUUCCUGGCCUGUUGCUCUAUUUAUUUCAGAGGCAUCAGAUGAAAUGAACAUCAGGACUUGGGUACAAGUCAUCAGAAAAUUAUCUGAGACCAACAGAAGAGGACACAGUGUUAGGUGAUGAGGACGUAGCUUAGCUGUGCCACACCAGCCUGGCAAGCGAAACAUCCCCAGUCCCCAGUACUGGGGGCGAAGGGGACACAGUGUUAAGAUUCCUCCCUGUCUCCGUGGGAAGACCACAUCCGGAAGUCCCCAGUUGCUUGUGUUUGCUUUUGCCAUUAUGACUUCAGUUCCAUGAAUUAUGUGUCAACUAAGCCUCUGUUACCCUUGUUACCUGUCUGCUCUCUUCCCAUAAGUGCUGGGUUUGCACAGAAAACAAGUUCUAGAGGCAACCCUGAAUUCCAGAGGCAACUCUGGGGAAAAACGACAGAGCUCAGAGACAAAGAGAAGGGAUUCAGAAAGGGGGCAAAUGUUCUGAAGAGAAGGGAAGAAUCAGCAGCCAGGGAAAGUGAGAACAAGCAUGAGGAGGACACAGAGAUGACCAUGGACCCCUGGCCAGCAGUUCCUACUGUGGACACUCCAGUGCCGGAAAGAGGAGUGGAAGAGCAGAAUGCAGCCAAGGAAACUGAGAAGAAAGGAUCACAGAGCUAGGAAUAAAAGCAGAAGGCUGCAAGCUAUCUUGAAGGGAGGAAAGAGAUACCUCAGGUUCCUGAAUUUAAAUGCCAUCUAUGCACCAGUGAUGGUAGAGAGGAAGAAACUUUCCCUUGCCUCUUAGAUUCUGUAACAGGGGCCUAUGAAUUAAACUGACAAAAUAAAGAAUAAGAGAAGAAAAACAUACAAAUUUUAUUUAAUGUUAAUUUUAUUUAACGUUAUUUACCAUUCAUGGAAGCUUUACAGCAAAAAUAAAAAAGUAAACCCUUACCACCACCACUGGGCUCAAUUCCCAGCACUAAGGGAAAAAAGUAAAAAACCUAAGCAGUAUUUACAUUUGAAGGUUUAUAUAUCAUCUUAACAAAGACUGAUAACUUGCAGAGAAAUGACUUCAUAAAAGAGAAGGGGUUUGGGCUUCCAAGGGCAGGUAAAUUGUGGGUAGGUGGAUCUAUGGGAGUAGAGAGGGUUAUUUAGUAAGAUUUGUGUAUCAAACUCAUCUCAGUGCUGUCUACAGCACUGGUGACAAAGGUUGUUUCCCUGUACCAGGAAGAGUAUAUAUCUACAGGGCAAAUGUAUACCCUGGUUUUUUUUUAUUUUUUAUUUUUAUUUUUUGGUACUGGGGAUCAAAUUCAGGACCUUGCACUUGUAAGGCAGGUAGCAGAGCCACUGAGCUAAAUUCCCAGUCCUACCCUGUUUUUUAAAUGGCAGACAAGGAGGAAGGCAGAAAGCUCUUCUGGUGUCUACUUUUCUUCAUUGCCUUCAGAUCAAAAUACUCCUUAGGGCAAAACAGCAUAUUUUGGGUGGCAUGUUCUGAUUCUCCUCAAUUCCCAAAUUUCUAUUUCCAUCCUGGAUCUCUUUCUGAACUCCACUGUUCAUAUAGCAAACUGUAUAUUCUACAUCUCUACUUAGGUGUUCUUUAGGCUUUUAAACAUUUACAAACCAAAAACCAAAUAUCAGACCUUUUCCAGUCUUAAUCUUUCCCAUUUUAGUAAGCUGCGAUUCUGUUCUUCUAGUGAAGUCAAAAGUCUUAGAGUCAUCCUUGAUUCCUCUCUCCCUCAUAUUCAGAACCCCACUGAUUCUAUCUUCAGAAUAUAACCAGAGUCGCAGCACCACCUAACACUUCCACUGCCACAACCCAAGUAAGUCUAAGGCACCACUGUCUCUCACUUGUUUGCUACAACAGCCUAAUAACUGAACCUCCUGCCUUCUAUCCCUGCACCUCUUUCCAUAGUCCAUUCUCAGCCCAUCACUCAGAAUCCUUUUAAAAGAAAAGCCAUAGCAUGUAGUAAAGAAUAGUUUAUGUAGUUAGCUUAUGAUUGAGGCAGCUCGCUAGGGGAAGGGCCUGAGUUAAAGUCUGGUAAUCAGCCAUAUUGAUGGGAAUUGAAAUAAGAAGAGACAGUGAUCUAGGCCUUUGGACUAAGAAUGAACUUCCUCAGGCAACAUGGAAUCCAGCCCCCUCCCUACUAAAGGAGGUCCAGCAAUUUGCAGCUAACCUAAGAGAGAGUUUUGAGGAAUUCAAAAUACAAUGAACUUCCUUGGGCAACAGGGAAUACAGCCCACUCCCUACUAUACUCCUGAGUGCUGAGGAAUUUAAAAUGCAAAAUACUGUAGCCAGUUCCUAAAAUCCUAGUUUCCUUUAAAUCCUACAUGCUGAAGAACUGCGUUAGAGAGCCUGAGUUCCAACUGGUCAUUUUAAAUCCACAGAGCCACCUGUGAUAUGUGGUCAGUAAACAAUUGAGCAAUUUUUGUGCUCUGCUUAUCUACAAUUACUCUGGCUGGAGGAGCCACGUGGCCACCCACUCAGGAUACCUUGGAAAUCCAAGAGCUAUACUUAUUAUUUCCAAUAAAAACUGAUUUGCAGUUUUAUUCCUCAAUGUUGUGAGACCAUGAGCCCAGGACAUAUGAUAAUAAUGUCACUUCUCUGGCCCUAGUCAGUUUAGCGCACUGCCUGAUAGCAUCCAUUUUACUCAGAGUGAAAACCCAGGUCCUUACAACAGCCCACAAAACCCUAUGGAGCCUGGCUCUGUUUCCUUUCUGAAUUUAACCCCUAGUUCCGUCCCUCUUUUGGAUCUACUUCAAAUGUGACUUCACUGUUCCUCAAAUGUACCCAACUCUCCCACCUCUGGACUUUUGUAAGUGCUGUUCAAUCCACCUGAAGUACAGGACCCUCAAAUCCCCCACUGAGCUUACUUCUCUUCCUUCAUAGCUUUUUUGCCAAAAGUAAUCCCUUCAAAGAGAACUGCUCUGAUUUUUUUUUUUUUUUUUUUUUUUUUUUUUUUUUUUUUUUU
ensembl:lincRNA